AGCUGGGAAUUCUUUUGGUUCAUAUUUUAUAAAUUUUGAUUAACUGUAUUCAUUUCCAGGAAUAGUUUUUACUUUUUCUGUAUAUGACAAUUUUUUGGUGCCUUAAUUUACAUACAUUAGUAUUGUUUCUAUUUGAAGGUUGGUUUUUAAUUGACUUAAUCAACUAGGGAGCAGCUGGUGGAGCAGAAGCAAGACCAUUUGUUACCUACCAUAAUUCGCUAGGAAGGGAUCUUUAUUUGAGGAUAGCAACAGAGCUCCACUUGAAGAGGAUGCUGGUUGGAGGGUUUGAAAAAGUUUAUGAGAUUGGUCGAAUAUUCAGAAAUGAAGGGAUUUCAAAUCAUCACAAUCUAGAAUUUAAAGCAAUGAAAUGGAGCAUAAGAUUAAGGCCUGGAAGAUUUUUCACAGUUCCUGAGGAACUGAGAGCACCGUAUAAGUCAAUACAGUGAAAUAUCUUUAGUCAUUGAGUUGUAGGAUUAGACAAGUAGAAAAGUACAGGACAACUUUAUUAUUUACAAUGAAAUGGGGAAGGACUUGGAUUGAUGGUAUGUGAGACUAAUAG